rnacentral:rRNA from 1 species
GGGUUGUGAGGUUAAGCGACUAAGCGUACACGGUGGAUGCCCUGGCAGUCAGAGGCGAUGAAGGACGUGCUAAUCUGCGAUAAGCGUCGGUAAGGUGAUAUGAACCGUUAUAACCGGCGAUUUCCGAAUGGGGAAACCCAGUGUGUUUCGACACACUAUCAUUAACUGAAUCCAUAGGUUAAUGAGGCGAACCGGGGGAACUGAAACAUCUAAGUACCCCGAGGAAAAGAAAUCAACCGAGAUUCCCCCAGUAGCGGCGAGCGAACGGGGAGCAGCCCAGAGCCUGAAUCAGUGUGUGUGUUAGUGGAAGCGUCUGGAAAGGCGCGCGAUACAGGGUGACAGCCCCGUACACAAAAAUGCACAUGCUGUGAGCUCGAUGAGUAGGGCGGGACACGUGGUAUCCUGUCUGAAUAUGGGGGGACCAUCCUCCAAGGCUAAAUACUCCUGACUGACCGAUAGUGAACCAGUACCGUGAGGGAAAGGCGAAAAGAACCCCGGCGAGGGGAGUGAAAAAGAACCUGAAACCGUGUACGUACAAGCAGUGGGAGCACGCUUAGGCGUGUGACUGCGUACCUUUUGUAUAAUGGGUCAGCGACUUAUAUUCUGUAGCAAGGUUAACCGAAUAGGGGAGCCGAAGGGAAACCGAGUCUUAACUGGGCGUUAAGUUGCAGGGUAUAGACCCGAAACCCGGUGAUCUAGCCAUGGGCAGGUUGAAGGUUGGGUAACACUAACUGGAGGACCGAACCGACUAAUGUUGAAAAAUUAGCGGAUGACUUGUGGCUGGGGGUGAAAGGCCAAUCAAACCGGGAGAUAGCUGGUUCUCCCCGAAAGCUAUUUAGGUAGCGCCUCGUGAACUCAUCUCCGGGGGUAGAGCACUGUUUCGGCAAGGGGGUCAUCCCGACUUACCAACCCGAUGCAAACUGCGAAUACCGGAGAAUGUUAUCACGGGAGACACACGGCGGGUGCUAACGUCCGUCGUGAAGAGGGAAACAACCCAGACCGCCAGCUAAGGUCCCAAAGUCAUGGUUAAGUGGGAAACGAUGUGGGAAGGCCCAGACAGCCAGGAUGUUGGCUUAGAAGCAGCCAUCAUUUAAAGAAAGCGUAAUAGCUCACUGGUCGAGUCGGCCUGCGCGGAAGAUGUAACGGGGCUAAACCAUGCACCGAAGCUGCGGCAGCGACGCUUAUGCGUUGUUGGGUAGGGGAGCGUUCUGUAAGCCUGUGAAGGUGUACUGUGAGGUAUGCUGGAGGUAUCAGAAGUGCGAAUGCUGACAUAAGUAACGAUAAAGCGGGUGAAAAGCCCGCUCGCCGGAAGACCAAGGGUUCCUGUCCAACGUUAAUCGGGGCAGGGUGAGUCGACCCCUAAGGCGAGGCCGAAAGGCGUAGUCGAUGGGAAACAGGUUAAUAUUCCUGUACUUGGUGUUACUGCGAAGGGGGGACGGAGAAGGCUAUGUUGGCCGGGCGACGGUUGUCCCGGUUUAAGCGUGUAGGCUGGUUUUCCAGGCAAAUCCGGAAAAUCAAGGCUGAGGCGUGAUGACGAGGCACUACGGUGCUGAAGCAACAAAUGCCCUGCUUCCAGGAAAAGCCUCUAAGCAUCAGGUAACAUCAAAUCGUACCCCAAACCGACACAGGUGGUCAGGUAGAGAAUACCAAGGCGCUUGAGAGAACUCGGGUGAAGGAACUAGGCAAAAUGGUGCCGUAACUUCGGGAGAAGGCACGCUGAUAUGUAGGUGAAGCGACUUGCUCGUGGAGCUGAAAUCAGUCGAAGAUACCAGCUGGCUGCAACUGUUUAUUAAAAACACAGCACUGUGCAAACACGAAAGUGGACGUAUACGGUGUGACGCCUGCCCGGUGCCGGAAGGUUAAUUGAUGGGGUUAGCGCAAGCGAAGCUCUUGAUCGAAGCCCCGGUAAACGGCGGCCGUAACUAUAACGGUCCUAAGGUAGCGAAAUUCCUUGUCGGGUAAGUUCCGACCUGCACGAAUGGCGUAAUGAUGGCCAGGCUGUCUCCACCCGAGACUCAGUGAAAUUGAACUCGCUGUGAAGAUGCAGUGUACCCGCGGCAAGACGGAAAGACCCCGUGAACCUUUACUAUAGCUUGACACUGAACAUUGAGCCUUGAUGUGUAGGAUAGGUGGGAGGCUUUGAAGUGUGGACGCCAGUCUGCAUGGAGCCGACCUUGAAAUACCACCCUUUAAUGUUUGAUGUUCUAACGUUGACCCGUAAUCCGGGUUGCGGACAGUGUCUGGUGGGUAGUUUGACUGGGGCGGUCUCCUCCUAAAGAGUAACGGAGGAGCACGAAGGUUGGCUAAUCCUGGUCGGACAUCAGGAGGUUAGUGCAAUGGCAUAAGCCAGCUUGACUGCGAGCGUGACGGCGCGAGCAGGUGCGAAAGCAGGUCAUAGUGAUCCGGUGGUUCUGAAUGGAAGGGCCAUCGCUCAACGGAUAAAAGGUACUCCGGGGAUAACAGGCUGAUACCGCCCAAGAGUUCAUAUCGACGGCGGUGUUUGGCACCUCGAUGUCGGCUCAUCACAUCCUGGGGCUGAAGUAGGUCCCAAGGGUAUGGCUGUUCGCCAUUUAAAGUGGUACGCGAGCUGGGUUUAGAACGUCGUGAGACAGUUCGGUCCCUAUCUGCCGUGGGCGCUGGAGAACUGAGGGGGGCUGCUCCUAGUACGAGAGGACCGGAGUGGACGCAUCACUGGUGUUCGGGUUGUCAUGCCAAUGGCACUGCCCGGUAGCUAAAUGCGGAAGAGAUAAGUGCUGAAAGCAUCUAAGCACGAAACUUGCCCCGAGAUGAGUUCUCCCUGACUCCUUGAGAGUCCUGAAGGAACGUUGAAGACGACGACGUUGAUAGGCCGGGUGUGUAAGCGCAGCGAUGCGUUGAGCUAACCGGUACUAAUGAACCGUGAGGCUUAACCUUACAACGCCGAAG